rnacentral:rRNA from 1 species
UACAGAGGUUCCAAGCGUUGUUCGGAUUUAUUGGGCGUAAAGGGUGCGUAGGCGGCGGAGUAAGUUGGGUGUGAAAUCCCGGGGCUCAACCUCGGAAUUGCAUUCAAUACUGCUUCGCUUGAGUACUGGAGAGGAGGCUGGAAUUUACGGUGUAGCAGUGAAAUGCGUAGAUAUCGUAAGGAAGGCCGGUGGCGAAAGCGAGCCUCUGGACAGUUACUGACGCUGAUGCACGAAGGCCAGGGGAGCAAACGGG